rnacentral:rRNA from 1 species
UAGGGAAUCUUCCGCAAUGGGCGAAAGCCUGACGGAGCAACGCCGCGUGAGUGAUGAAGGUCUUAGGAUCGUAAAACUCUGUUAUUAGGGAAGAACAAACGUGUAAGUAACUGUGCACGUCUUGACGGUACCUAAUCAGAAAGCCACGGCUAACUACGUGCCAGCAGCCGCGGUAAUACGUAGGUGGCAAGCGUUAUCCGGAAUUAUUGGGCGUAAAGCGCGCGUAGGCGGUCUUUUAAGUCUGAUGUGAAAGCCCACGGCUCAACCGUGGAGGGUCAUUGGAAACUGGAAAACUUGAGUGCAGAAGAGGAAAGUGGAAUUCCAUGUGUAGCGGUGAAAUGCGCAGAGAUAUGGAGGAACACCAGUGGCGAAGGCGACUUUCUGGUCUGUAACUGACGCUGAUGUGCGAAAGCGUGGGGAUCAAACA